CUUGGGGUGGGGGGGUCUCUCAGCCCGCAUUGCAAGAGGGCACAGGCCAGGCCAGGGACCCCACCCGUGCAGG
rnacentral:pre_miRNA from 1 species